CCGGCGCACGGGUGAGUAACACGUAUCCAACCUGCCGUCUACUCUUGGACAGCCUUCUGAAAGGAAGAUUAAUACAAGAUGGCAUCAUGAGUCCGCAUGUUCACAUGAUUAAAGGUAUUCCGGUAGACGAUGGGGAUGCGUUCCAUUAGAUAGUAGGCGGGGUAACGGCCCACCUAGUCUUCGAUGGAUAGGGGUUCUGAGAGGAAGGUCCCCCACAUUGGAACUGAGACACGGCCCAGACUCCUACGGGAGGCAGCAUG
rnacentral:rRNA from 1 species